UAACAUCAAUAAUCAAAAAUAUUUCCUACCCAAAAUCUGUGGUCGUCUAUUUAUCUCUCUUACUUAUCAAACUAAUUUUACACAAACCUUUAUUUUACAGCUUAAAAGAAACCACAACAUCCCAAACAAUCAAAACACCAAAAACUAGAAUUCCAAAAAAGACAAAUCAUUAAUGAUCACCUCUCUUUUUUGUCUAAUCUUAAAAAUAAACUUCAAAACAAAUAUACCAAACCAAUCACUUCAACUAAAAGUCAACGACACAUACAUCGAGUCAGGUAAGCAAAUACAAACUACACGACCAACUAUUUAACAAUUUACAAGCUUACUUUCGCAACGAAAAAGACUGAAGACGACAACCAAGAUCAGUGAAAUUACCUAAACAAAAAAGCAGAGUAAGUUACGAACUCUGAUAAAUACAACUAACAAUGAUUUUUGUUUACAUAUUACCCAUCAAAUAAAAGAAAAACAAACACAACCAAACCAGAAGAUACAAGAAAAAAUCUCGACACACACAAAGGUGACAACAACAUCUCCACCUGCUCACUCCUCUUGUCUUAUAAAAGUAGCUUACAUGCCCAAUGUCAACAAGCCAAUACUAUUGUAUUCUUAUGAGAAAUACAUAAAUUCGUUUAAAGACCAUUAAGGCUCAAAUACUCAGAACUGUCACUCAUUUUAUAGUUAUUUAUAUAAAUCUUCAUGUAUUUGUUUUAAAUGUCCGGUAAGAGCAACACGUUUAAAAAUAAAAAAGAAACAUAUAACAAAUAUAAUAAGGAUAAUAAAAAUUAUAACUUAAUACACAAAACAUACACAACUAAACUUGAGAAAAAAUAUCCAGAAACAAAAGGUACUCUCAACAACUUUAAUAUAAUUUAUGUAUUCUUAAUAGUACAAGAAACAAAUUAAAAAGACAAACAAACAAUAAGUCUCAAUGACACAUCAAACAACACCACGAACUAUAUCAAUCACAUUACUAACACAGUUUAGUACUUCA
rnacentral:lncRNA from 1 species